rnacentral:tRNA from 1 species
GAGGGUAUAGCUCAGUGGUAGAGUGUGUGCUUAGCAUACAUGAAGUCCUGGAAUCAAUUUCCAGUACGUCCA